ACCAUGUUGGCCAGGCUACUCUUGAACUCCUGACCUCAAGUGAUCCGCCUGCCUCGGCCUCCCAAUGUGAGAAAGUGGCUAUUUCUAUCCUCAGUGUUCAGAAACCAGUGAGCACCAAAAAAUGGCUUAUAGUCUGACAUUU
ensembl:snoRNA